GAAGUUAGCGGCGGACGGGUGAGUAACACGUGGGUAACCUGCCCAUAAGACUGGGAUAACUCCGGGAAACCGGGGCUAAUACCGGAUAACAUUUUGAACUGCAUGGUUCGAAAUUGAAAGGCGGCUUCGGCUGUCACUUAUGGAUGGACCCGCGUCGCAUUAGCUAGUUGGUGAGGUAACGGCUCACCAAGGCAACGAUGCGUAGCCGACCUGAGAGGGUGAUCGGCCACACUGGGACUGAGACACGGCCCAGACUCCUACGGGAGGCAGCAGUAGGGAAUCUUCCGCAAUGGACGAAAGUCUGACGGAGCAACGCCGCGUGAGUGAUGAAGGCUUUCGGGUCGUAAAACUCUGUUGUUAGGGAAGAACAAGUGCUAGUUGAAUAAGCUGGCACCUUGACGGUACCUAACCAGAAAGCCACGGCUAACUACGUGCCAGCAGCCGCGGUAAUACGUAGGUGGCAAGCGUUAUCCGGAAUUAUUGGGCGUAAAGCGCGCGCAGGUGGUUUCUUAAGUCUGAUGAGGAAAGUGGAAUUCCAUGCGUGGAGGGUCAUUGGAAACUGGGAGACUUGAGUACCAGUGUGAAAGCCCACGGCUCAACUGUAGCGGUGAAAUGCGUAGAGAUAUGGAGGAACGCAGAAGGCGAAGGCGACUUUCUGGUC
rnacentral:rRNA from 1 species